CUACGUAGGGUGCGAGCGUUGUCCGGAAUUACUGGGCGUAAAGAGCUCGUAGGUGGUUUGUCGCGUCGUCUGUGAAAUUCCGGGGCUUAACUCCGGGCGUGCAGGCGAUACGGGCAUAACUUGAGUACUGUAGGGGAGACUGGAAUUCCUGGGGUAGCGGUGAAAUGCGCAGAUAUCAGGAGGAACACCGGUGGCGAAGGCGGGUCUCUGGGCAGUAACUGACGCUGAGGAGCGAAAGCAUGGGUAGCGAACAGGAUUAGAUACCCUGGUAGUCCAUGCCGUAAACGGUGGGCGCUAGGUGUAGGGGUCUUCCACGACUUCUGUGCCGUAGCUAACGCAUUAAGCGCCCCGCCUGGGGAGUACGGCCGCAAGGCUAAAACUCAAAUGAAUUGACGGGG
rnacentral:rRNA from 1 species